UCCGUGGAGCAUGGGGUCUGCUUCCUCCCCUGAAAUCUGGGGAGCCUGAGUGUUUUGGAAGUGAUGUCCCAUGAUGAUAGAGUUCCCUCCUGGCAUUCUCUCUUGGGACGUGGCCCCUGGGAUCCCUGAGGGACAUAUAGAAGUCCCUCUACCCUGAAGCCGCCAGCCUGGAGGGGCCACAUAUAGCUAGAGAUGCCUCCAGUCUCACAUGGUUGAGUCAUCUCAGGAGCCAGACACGGGAGUAGGUCAACCUUCUGAUGACUCUCCACCCCGGCCACUGAGCUGCCGGCCCUACCCAAAUUGCAGAUUCAUUAACAAAAUAAUAUUGUUGGAGGCCACUCCAUUCUGGGGGUGGUGUCGUUUCACAGCAUCAGAUAAUGAAACACAAGACCUGAAACUAGGACUGACCACCCAUCCCGGUCUGCUUGGGACUAAAAGGUUUCUGGGACUCAAGACUUUCGGUGCUAAAACUGGGAGAGUCCCAGGCACGCUGGGCCGGUUGGUCACACCGUAAAGCAGCGGUUCUCAAACUUUAGUGUGCAUCAGAAACACCUGGGGACUUCCUGAAACACAGGUGGCCGGGUCUGACCCCCGGAGUUCCCAUUAGUGGGUCUCCUGUGGGGUCCAAUAAUUGCAUUUCUAACAAGUUCCCAGAUGCCAUUGCUGCUGCUGGUUGGAUCCCAAACUUCCAGAACGACUGGCCAGAAGGAAGGGCUGAACUGAGGACCUGCAGAUCCCUAUUGUUGUGUCCCAGUACUUCCUUCUGUCUGAUCCAGCAGUGUGGCAGGAAAUGGAGGGGCUCAAGGUCCUCUGGCUGACAACCAGGAGACACCCACGUCUUCCUGGCAGGGCGGUUGGGCGCUCUGGAAACAAGCCUAAGCCCAGAAGUGCCCAGCCUACUCGCCGCCAGGGGAGGAGCAAAGUGAACUCACUCGCUCAGAGCGCAGAUCAGCCCUUGGCCCUGGAGGGGCGCCCGCGUGCCACCGCCCCCUCAGGAAGCAACCCAGAGCGACCUCAGGAGCCAGCCCUCUGGGAAAGGGACUCGCCUGCCUCCCAGGGCCCCCACUUGAGGUUGAGAGCUGGAAGGGACCUGUGCAACACUGGGCAACCUCCUCUUUUAACUGGGGAGGAGGGGAAUGUGAGUUGACGUGACUUGCCAAGACCGUCCACCAAGAAUGAGGCGCAGUCAGAAGGUUCCCACCUCAGACUGGUCCCCCAGCUCAGCCUGGAAUGCCACAGCGCUCUCCCCACAGCUCCUAACUCCAUUUCGUCCCACACCUGUGAGCCCUCAUUUCCCCACGGGCCCUCCACAUCUUGGGUGUCUCAGUCCACAGCAGCUCUGGCCACUGUGAACUGCAGGCCUGAGCACAGGAGAAGCAGAGGUGGCGUGUGCUUACUGGAGGACACCCAGCACGGUCGUAGCCAAACCUCAGCUUACAAUCGCAGAUUCCCGGGCCCACCCCCUGGGUCUGAGACCAGCCCAGGCACCGACACUUUCAGCAAGAGCCCUAGGUGAUUUUGCUGCCUGUGGCAUUGGCCACACCCUGAGAAAGACCUGCCUGGCAUCAUCUUCCACAGAAGCCACCCAGGAAGAAGUGACGGACUGACAGAAGCCCAACUCAGACUUGGGAGGAAGGGGGAAUUUAUUGUUCCCCAAACCCAGCUAGUGGACAAAGCAGAGCAAGGAUAUCAUUGGGCCUCAUGGACAAAGGGGAGUCGAGGCCUGGAAUGAGUUCUCUUGUCUCUGCUGGCUAAUUUCUCCACCCACUUGGAAAAUAAUCACCCACAGGCAACAUCUUCCAUCAGAGAACUGACUCACUCUCUCCCAAAUUAAGAAAGUCUGGGGGAGGGCUGCCUGGGUCGGGUGCUUCUCCCUGGAUGAGUGAACUGCGAUCAGGUGAGUGGGGCCUACAUGGGCCCCAGUAACCCAGUCUCGGGGUCUAAGGGAGAGAAAUGCGGUGAAGGAGGGAGGAAGACCACACAGAUUCUUAACUCCAGUCUGUGGAGGCUGCUGCCAACCACUGAGUCUCUGGGCAGGAGACCUGGUGGGUAGCCAGCCUCCAAGAUGGCCCCAUGAUUCUUAUCUGGUAUGCGUGUCCCUAUGUACCCCUUCCACGGUGAACAAGGUUGACCUGUGUAAGCAAGAAGAUAGUGCAGAAGUGAUGGAUAGUCUUCCAGGUGAGGCCCUGAGAAACACUGCCGCUUCUGCCUUGCUCACUCUUGGGUCUCUGGCUGGGGGAAGCCAGCUGCCAUGUUGUAAGGACACUUAAUCAGCCUAUGGAGCAGGGCUGGGACGAGGCUGAGGUGAGGCACUUGCCUCCUGUGCAGAAUUUCAGGGAAUGCCCCAAAAGUCAGUAAUCUCAAUCUUUUAAUGUAAUAUUUUAAAAAAUUAAAUUCAUGCAAAAAAAAAAUCCACGAUAAAAAAAUAUCAAAAUUUUAAAUAAAGACAGGCUUAGUCACAGUACCAUGCUGCACCAUAUUGGAGCCUGAAGCAGAGGGAGAAUUCCGUGCUGUUGGUCCUGAUCCGGGCGCAGGAGCCUGCCAGGAGUGUGGGAGGUCUCUGUCCCUUCCCCGGCUGAAGAUCUCACUCCCCUGCCAGGUGACUGGUUAGGAAAAAGCAUGCGCAUGUGGAGUCAUCUGGAUCAUCUGUCUCCAGGAGGAAGGCAAUCGAGCAGGGCCUUACCCUCCGUGUCAGGACAAGGGCGGCGAGCCGGCGUGUCCGCUCAGGCCAGCUCUGGGUCUACAGGCUGACGCCGAUAAUGAGUAAUUGGAGCCCCAUUUGCAGAAUGCUUAUCAUGUGCCGGGCCCUCUGCCAAGUACUUUUUGGAAUCACUCCUCAGAACAACUCGGGAGAUGGGUUCUGUUUACACAGUUUUACAGAUAAGGGAACAGAAGUACAGAGCACCAGUGAAGUGUUCAGAGGGUGAGCGGUGGAGUCGGGCGCUGACUCAGGCAGUCUGACUCUAGAAACGACUCAUCACCUUUGGCAUCGGGAGUCAGCCAGCCUGGAAGGGGACUCUUGGUCCUGCAAGUGUUUGCUGUCUGCACUGGGGAAACUGCCUGACCUCUGUAAGGCUGUCUUCACCUCUGCAUGGUGGGGACAAUAAAUGGGAGCCGUUUAAAGCACUUAGCACCGUAUUUGUUACAAAGUAAAUAAACGGCCAGCAUUAGCCGCGGUUAUUCUUCUUUUGGGUGGAAAUGAACUCGAGAUGGUAGCUCCCACUCAGGGACAGACUCCCUCUAGUCUGCUUCCUUUCUCACUGACCUGGAUAACCACCCGCCCUCACUCAGCAGGGUCCCCUUGGCCUCUCAUGGGCUUGUACCUACUCCCCACACACCCCUCUCACAGUGAAGCUCAGAAAAUUGGAGAGAUGCUGGGGAGAGUCUGGGGCGGGUGGGAGAGAGGAACAGGGAAGUGAGCCAGGCCAGGAGAGGCUGUGGGCCUGGUGCAGGACAUUCCCCCUGGGCUAGGAUCCCCUGAGAGCCUCAAGCAAGCUCACCUGUGGCUCCGGCCUUGACCCACGAGACCACCUUCCAGAGCAGGUACAGGUGAGCGCAGGCCACCCCCAGGCCACCACCCGGCUGAUCCCAGAGGCUUCCGAGGUGGGGCUGAAGACCACGGAACAGGGGCAGGCUGGGACCUGCAUGGGAUGCUGGCUGGAGGGGAUGGAGGAACCACCUCUGCCCUUUCUUCCCAUUCCCUCCCUAGUCUCUUUCCACAGCAGCUCGUGGCACAGGUGAGGCCCACCGACUGUGUGUGCACUGGUGUGCAGGCGGCGAGCAUGGCUCCGGCCAGGUGCUACUGCCCGUUCAGCCGGGCCAUCCGACACACCACGGCUUCCCAAGAGUCUGUCAAGUCUUCUGAGAAGACAUGCUCUCUUCUCUUCUCGGCCCUUUGCCCCCUCCCUUCUGGGGAAGGGGACAGCGCUCGCCGCAUCAUGGCUCUCCCGGUGCUGUGACACAAACUGUCUGAGGCACACAGAUGAAGACGGCCCUGCCCUCCAGGCCUCCCCGGGUUCUGGGUCCCGUCUGCAGAGAGGGACAGGCAUGAGCCCAUUUGGUUCCAAUGUCUGGGCCAUGGUGGGAGGCCAUGGGGGGCAGGGGCAGGGGCAGGGAGGGAGGACGGAGUCCUGAAGGUCGUGAAGACUCAGCCAGGGGCAGGAGGGGCUUUCCCCGGAGGAGAAGCCCUGAAGGGUAACUCUGAGGAGUUCUGGGGGUGUGUUCUGAGAGUGGGGGACAGUGAGAGAGGGUGGGGAGGGAGGCGGGCCGGGUGUCGGGGAGCUUCGUCACUAGCCCUGCUUUCGCAGUUUGCCUUUUAUCUAGAAUUUUUUAUUUUAUCUAUUUUAUUUUAUCUAUCUGGGGAGCCACAGGAGGGACACGAUUAGAUCUGCCUUUUGGAAACCUCCCUGGCUGCGCUGCAGAGAACGGACGGAUGAGUGGGGAGGCCUGGCAGCGGAGAACCAGGAUGGAGAGCCCAGCGAGCCGGGGCUGGCCCGACGGAGGGGGAGCAGCCAGUGCGGGUGAUGGUUGGGAGGGGAGAGUCGCUAGGACUUGGGGGCUGACGAGAGGGAGUCCAUGGAGGACUAUGCGCCCGGGAGGACCAUGCGCCCACCUGGGGAUUCAGGAGGAGGCAGGUUUGGGAAGCUUCAGAGUGGAGAUGCCAGGGGGACUCCGCAGCAGAGUCCAGUGGGUGCCAGGACAGCGUUGUGUGGCAUCUCCCUUCACCAUUGUGUGCAUGAGUAGCAGGCCCGCUAUGUUAAUACACACGUCACUCAACCCUCCUUCCCCCGCUCCUCCCAUGGGUGUCCCCUCCCAUGUGCCUAAGACCCCCGGAACCCCCUCUGUUUAAAGGGUGACGCUGGUUGGUGUGGGGUCCAUGGUCUCCCGUGGAGAACCCCAAAAGACUUGCUAACACUGCUCAGGGCCCCUCCCCGUCAGGUGGGGUGACCCUCAGUAUGAACUGUGGCCCAGCUCAGGGCAGGUCCUGUCACCUGUCAGCACCCUCUCCAAAAUUUAUCUUGAAUUCAACCCGUCUUCACUGCACCACCCAGUUCAAGCCGCCACAACCUCCACUCUCGAUGCACCACCCAGAGAAAUCUUUUCAGAAGAUAAACCAGAGCAUGUCUCUCCUCGUUUUCACAUUCUUCCGGCCAGCUCCCCACUGCACCUGGAACAGAAUCUAAACUCUUGUCUGGCCCACAAAGCCCUAGGGGAUUUGCCCCUGCCUUCUUCUCUGAUCUCAUGCCUACUACUCCCCUGCCCUUGCUUCUCGCUGCACUGGCCAUCUUUCUUCAAACACAUAAAAUCUGCUCCUGCGGCAGGGCCUUUGCACUUGCUGUUCCCUCCCUAGAAGGCUCUGCAGGCUAAGUGAUCAUUCAGGCCGCAGACACAAUAUCCCCUCAGAGCAGCUUUCUUGAAUUCUCAAGCUAAGUUGGUGGCCCCGGUGCAGUGUCACACCUUCUGUUUUCUUCAUUGCUCCUUCAUUAUCUGACAAUAUUGCUUUUCCUUGUUUACUUGGAGUGUCUCUGCCCAGCAAGAUGCCAGGUGUCUGAUGACAGCAGGGCCCUGCUGGCCUCGAUGCCCCAGUAUCACCAGUGUCUAGUACUAGGAGAGCAGGUGCACAGGAAUAACAAUGAAUUGUUACUGAAUGCUAUAGAGCCCCUGGUCCAAACUGCUUCCUAGCCCUGGCAUCUGGGCAGCCUGGUGACAUCCCUGCCCCUAAAGACAGCACCUAGUGACAAUGUCAGGCUGAGGGGUAGUGAGAGGAUCCUGUGUCAUCCUUAGUGAUGGACUGACUCCCCACACUGUGCUCUCUGUGCCCACGCAGCCAGUCUCCUCCUGCACAGUCCGGGCCAGGUCAGUCUGUGCCCUCCCAGCUAGUCCGCACUAGGGCUAGCCUCUCUCCAGCCCCUCUCCCCCCUGCCAGUGCCAAAGUCCCCUCCACUCCCUGCUCUGGGGAAAUGACACUCCUUUUAGAGAGCCACCCACCCGACUCUGGUUGGAGCUGAGCUGGCGGUGAAGACAGGAGCUGAGGGGAGCUGGAGGAGGGGAGAGGUCACGCGGAGCACAGAGCAGCGAGCACUAACUUCGGUUAGAGAGUCCUCUGAGAAUAGGGUGAAAGCUGAAAAGGCCCCGUGUCACUGCAGCCUAUCCAUGGCGUGCACAGACCAAGUUGGGAGCCUCCCUCCAGCCCAUGCUCUCAACUGCUAACGCCGUUUACUGCUUCCUGGUUGCCAAAGGCGUUUUAUACACGUGACCUCAUUAAACCUGACAGGGAGCCCCGAGUCCUAGGUUACAAGAGGAAGCCGGAUGCCAGGGUGGGUGCCUCCCCUGGCGCAGGGUGAGAGAGGAACUGGGAACCCUGGCCUUUAGGAGACAGAUGGAGAGGGGAGGGGCGCCCAGAGGUGCAGCAGGAGACCAGGAGAGGAUGCUGGAGGCCAGCGGAGCAGAGAAUCUCAAGAAGGAACUAGUAAACAGGGUCCAAUAGCACAAGGCAGCCCAGGACGCAAAGGUGUUGAUGGCUUUAACCACAGAGACUGCUGGUGACCUUCGGUGGGACAGAAGCCAGAGUAGUGUUGGGACAGUAGAGACAAGCCUAGGACCUUUUCCUAAGCAGCUGGCAUGUGUAAUGGAAAGAUGGGGCAAAAGCUAAUGGAGGCCGGGCUCAGGGGACAUGAGCUUUCUCCUUUUUGAGAUGAAACUUGAGCACGCUCACAUCUGAAGGGUGCAGGUGGCCAGGCUAGGAAGAGGCCCUAAAUGGCGCGGGGGGACUCUGAGACAAGGGAUGGGAGGGCAUUGGGGGAAGCAAGGCCAGCGGAGGGGAGCAGGACGCAGGGCGGAGAUAAGGGCCUCUCGCUUGUUCGAAUUGGGCCCGAUGGCAGUUGGAGGGGAGCGAGGGCGGGCAAGGCUGCAGAAGGACCCAGAAGCCUGGGGCCACAGGACCUGGAGCAGCCCAUCGGGAGGGAGCAGGGAGACCUCUGCAGCAGCACCUGACAGCCCAAGCGUGCAGACUCAGUGACUGUGUUCCUCCUCAUCCCGCAGACCCUCCUUUUCUGGAGGCAGCAGUCCCGUCCCCACUUUGUUAGUAGCGUGGCUCCCCGAGGGCCAGUUUCAACGAGACACAUGGAUCACAGAAGAAAACUGCUCCAUAAAAGCCAACGAGAACUGGGCAACAAAUGAAAAGGGUCAUAGCCUCCACCUACAGGUAAAAUAGCACAGUCCCACGGAGGUGCACGGACCAAGGCCCCACAGGACUGGAGACCAGAGAAUUCAGGGAAAGGUUUCCAUCUAAGAUGACGGGUAGCCCCCAAUCCAGCUUUGCUUCUGCUGCAAAUGGCUCGGGGCUUUCAGGGCGGUGCGGCGUUUCCUUGUUUUCUCAAACUUACGGUUAAAAGGGAGUGGAACUAGAUAGCUGCAGGCAGGCAGCGACCCUAGGCACAGCCUCGGGCUCAGCCUGGCGAAGUGACUGCCCCCAGCCCUGUUGCCCUCGCCCUGACAGUGGACGGUCCCAGCAGGCGCUACUGGGAGUGGGGCUGCUCCCCUCCUGCGGGGGAGCUGCUUUAGCCACUCAUUCUUCCUUUCUGUUUAAUUCUGUCUGCAGAAUUUGGGGCUGUUUCUGACCAGGAUGGAGACCAGUGUAGUGGGGGUACCAGAAGGAAUGAUGUCUGUUCUGAGCACAAAAGAACUGCCCAGGAGGGAAGAAACUGUCACAAAACUUGUCAGAGAUCAGCUCAUCUGGUCCAAUCCUCCCAUUUCACAGAUACAGCCUUGCAAGUCACCAGGUCGUCGUCUGGCCGAACUGAGCAAUCACACACAAGCGUUCGUUACAGCUACAACAGGGUGCCGACGGAAGUGCUGAACUGAGAAGGAGCUGGGGACAGACGGAGAGCCGGCUUUGGCUGUAGACUGCUCUACUCUGGGUCCCACGGAACGACUGGCUCCCAUUUCUCAUUUUGAACUGCUUGCUCCUC